UGGGAGCUUGCUGGCUGAGAUUAGCGGCGGACGGGUGAGUAACACGUGGGCAACCUGCCUAUAAGACUGGGAUAACUUCGGGAAACCGGAGCUAAUACCGGAUACGUUCAAAACUCGCAUGAGAGUUGAUGGAAAGACGGUUUCGGCUGUCACUUAUAGAUGGGCCCGCGGCGCAUUAGCUAGUUGGUGAGGUAAUGGCUCACCAAGGCGACGAUGCGUAGCCGACCUGAGAGGGUGAUCGGCCACACUGGGACUGAGACACGGCCCAGACUCCUACGGGAGGCAGCAGUAGGGAAUCUUCCGCAAUGGACGAAAGUCUGACGGAGCAACGCCGCGUGAACGAAGAAGGCCUUCGGGUCGUAAAGUUCUGUUGUUAGGGAAGAACAAGUAGGAGAGUAACUGCUGGUACCUUGACGGUACCUAACCAGAUUGCCACGGCUAACUACGUGCCAGCAGCCGCGGUAAUACGUAGGUGGCAAGCGUUGUCCGGAAUUAUUGGGCGUAAAGCGCGCGCAGGUGGUUGGUUAAGUCUGAUGUGAAAGCCCACGGCUCAACCGUGGAGGGUCAUUGGAAACUGGGGAACUUGAGUGCAGAAGAGGAAAGUGGAAUUCCAAGUGUAGCGGUGAAAUGCGUAGAGAUUU
rnacentral:rRNA from 1 species